rnacentral:lncRNA from 1 species
CGUGCUUCUGUUCUUUAUUUAUCCGAGUUUUCUCCAUUAAAGAUAAAUUCUCUGAUAAGAUAAAUACAGUAUAUAUCUUUAUUAAUUCCUUUGUUAUAGAUCCUGCAAAUACCUUCUCGAGGCCUGUUUUUUCCUCUCUAACGUUGAUGGGGUAUGUUUUGUUAUAAAGAUGUUUUCUGUUCUGCAGGGUUGCGUGUCAGUUACAGUUGUCAUUUGUAAGCAGUAGAAUCCGGUCUGACCAGUUUAAGCAGAAAAGAACUUAGGAGAGACAGAAGGGAGUUCACACAACGUUUGGGACAGAUGGGAAAAGAGGCCUGAGACAAUGAAAGGGACACUCCCAGAACCAACUGACCCUUUCCGGAAUCUGCUGCCCACCCCGGGACCACACCGCCUUUGCCCAGAAUGCGCCACUGAAAUGACAGCGGCUCCCGGAGACGCGCAGCCAGCCAGCUCCCUCCCGCGGCCCGAGGCCCCCGUGUCUGAUUGGCAGGCCUGGUCACGUGCCCGCAUUUUGGCUGGGAAAGAGUCAGGGAAGGCACCGAUUCAGAUUCUCCCUUGGGGAAACAACUAAAAUGCACGCAAGGUGGCCUAAAAAGCUUGGCAGAUUCACU